rnacentral:rRNA from 1 species
AGACCCGAAACCCGGUGAUCUAGCCAUGGGCAGGUUGAAGGUUGGGUAACACUAACUGGAGGACCGAACCGACUAAUGUUGAAAAAUUAGCGGAUGACCUGUGGCUGGGGGUGAAAGGCCAAUCAAACCGGGAGAUAGCUGGUUCUCCCCGAAAGCUAUUUAGGUAGCGCCUCGUGAAUUCAUCUCCGGGGGUAGAGCACUGUUUCGGCUAGGGGGCCAUCCCGGCUUACCAACCCGAUGCAAACUGCGAAUACCGGAGAAUGUUAUCACGGGAGACACACGGCGGGUGCUAACGUCCGUCGUGAAGAGGGAAACAACCCAGACCGCCAGCUAAGGUCCCAAAGUCAUGGUUAAGUGGGAAACGAUGUGGGAAGGCCCAGACAGCCAGGAUGUUGGCUUAGAAGCAGCCAUCAUUUAAAGAAAGCGUAAUAGCUCACUGGUCGAGUCGGCCUGCGCGGAAGAUGUAACGGGGCUAAACCAUGCACCGAAGCUGCGGCAGCGAAGGUAUCACCCAAGACAACUUUACGGAGUUGACGAUUGACGGAGCGAAGCGACGUCAAAGCGUAUACAAAGUCGAGUUGGCUUAGGGAUACGUUCGUUGGGUAGGGGAGCGUUCUGUAAGCCUGUGAAGGUGGCCUGUGAGGGUUGCUGGAGGUAUCAGAAGUGCGAAUGCUGACAUAAGUAACGAUAAAGCGGGUGAAAAGCCCGCUCGCCGGAAGACCAAGGGUUCCUGUCCAACGUUAAUCGGGGCAGGGUGAGUCGACCCCUAAGGCGAGGCCGAAAGGCGUAGUCGAUGGGAAACGGGUUAAUAUUCCCGUACUUGGUGUUACUGCGAAGGGGGGACGGAGAAGGCUAUGUUGGCCGGGCGACGGUUGUCCCGGUUUAAGCGUGUAGGUGUGUGUUCCAGGUAAAUCCGGUUCACUUUAACACUGAGGCGUGACGACGAGGCACUACGGUGCUGAAGCAACAAAUGCCCUGCUUCCAGGAAAAGCCUCUAAGCAUCAGGUAACAUCAAAUCGUACCCCAAACCGACACAGGUGGUCAGGUAGAGAAUACCAAGGCGCUUGAGAGAACUCGGGUGAAGGAACUAGGCAAAAUGGUGCCGUAACUUCGGGAGAAGGCACGCUGACACGUAGGUGAAGUGAUUUACUCAUGGAGCUGAAGUCAGUCGAAGAUACCAGCUGGCUGCAACUGUUUAUUAAAAACACAGCACUGUGCAAACACGAAAGUGGACGUAUACGGUGUGACGCCUGCCCGGUGCCGGAAGGUUAAUUGAUGGGGUCAGCGCAAGCGAAGCUCCUGAUCGAAGCCCCGGUAAACGGCGGCCGUAACUAUAACGGUCCUAAGGUAGCGAAAUUCCUUGUCGGGUAAGUUCCGACCUGCACGAAUGGCGUAAUGAUGGCCAGGCUGUCUCCACCCGAGACUCAGUGAAAUUGAACUCGCUGUGAAGAUGCAGUGUACCCGCGGCAAGACGGAAAGACCCCGUGAACCUUUACUAUAGCUUGACACUGAACAUUGAGCCUUGAUGUGUAGGAUAGGUGGGAGGCUUUGAAGUGUGGACGCCAGUCUGCAUGGAGCCGACCUUGAAAUACCACCCUUUAAUGUUUGAUGUUCUAACGUGGACCCGUAAUCCGGGUUGCGGACAGUGUCUGGUGGGUAGUUUGACUGGGGCGGUCUCCUCCUAAAGAGUAACGGAGGAGCACGAAGGUUGGCUAAUCCUGGUCGGACAUCAGGAGGUUAGUGCAAUGGCAUAAGCCAGCUUGACUGCGAGCGUGACGGCGCGAGCAGGUGCGAAAGCAGGUCAUAGUGAUCCGGUGGUUCUGAAUGGAAGGGCCAUCGCUCAACGGAUAAAAGGUACUCCGGGGAUAACAGGCUGAUACCGCCCAAGAGUUCAUAUCGACGGCGGUGUUUGGCACCUCGAUGUCGGCUCAUCACAUCCUGGGGCUGAAGUAGGUCCCAAGGGUAUGGCUGUUCGCCAUUUAAAGUGGUACGCGAGCUGGGUUUAGAACGUCGUGAGACAGUUCGGUCCCUAUCUGCCGUGGGCGCUGGAGAACUGAGGGGGGCUGCUCCUAGUACGAGAGGACCGGAGUGGACGCAUCACUGGUGUUCGGGUUGUCAUGCCAAUGGCACUGCCCGGUAGCUAAAUGCGGAAGAGA